UUAACUGAAUCCAUAGGUUAAUGAGGCGAACCGGGGGAACUGAAACAUCUAAGUACCCCGAGGAAAAGAAAUCAACCGAGAUUCCCCCAGUAGCGGCGAGCGAACGGGGAGCAGCCCAGAGCCUGAAUCAGUAUGUGUGUUAGUGGAAGCGUCUGGAAAGGCGCGCGAUACAGGGUGACAGCCCCGUACACAAAAAUGCACAUGCUGUGAGCUCGAUGAGUAGGGCGGGACACGUGGUAUCCUGUCUGAAUAUGGGGGGACCAUCCUCCAAGGCUAAAUACUCCUGACUGACCGAUAGUGAACCAGUACCGUGAGGGAAAGGCGAAAAGAACCCCGGCGAGGGGAGUGAAAAAGAACCUGAAACCGUGUACGUACAAGCAGUGGGAGCACGCUUAGGCGUGUGACUGCGUACCUUUUGUAUAAUGGGUCAGCGACUUAUAUUCUGUAGCAAGGUUAACCGAAUAGGGGAGCCGAAGGGAAACCGAGUCUUAACUGGGCGUUAAGUUGCAGGGUAUAGACCCGAAACCCGGUGAUCUAGCCAUGGGCAGGUUGAAGGUUGGGUAACACUAACUGGAGGACCGAACCGACUAAUGUUGAAAAAUUAGCGGAUGACUUGUGGCUGGGGGUGAAAGGCCAAUCAAACCGGGAGAUAGCUGGUUCUCCCCGAAAGCUAUUUAGGUAGCGCCUCGUGAAUUCAUCUCCGGGGGUAGAGCACUGUUUCGGCAAGGGGGUCAUCCCGACUUACCAACCCGAUGCAAACUGCGAAUACCGGAGAAUGUUAUCACGGGAGACACACGGCGGGUGCUAACGUCCGUCGUGAAGAGGGAAACAACCCAGACCGCCAGCUAAGGUCCCAAAGUCAUGGUUAAGUGGGAAACGAUGUGGGAAGGCCCAGACAGCCAGGAUGUUGGCUUAGAAGCAGCCAUCAUUUAAAGAAAGCGUAAUAGCUCACUGGUCGAGUCGGCCUGCGCGGAAGAUGUAACGGGGCUAAACCAUGCACCGAAGCUGCGGCAGCGACGCUGAUGCGUUGUUGGGUAGGGGAGCGUUCUGUAAGCCUGCGAAGGUGUGCUGUGAGGCAUGCUGGAGGUAUCAGAAGUGCGAAUGCUGACAUAAGUAAC
rnacentral:rRNA from 1 species